GCCGAGAUGGCGGAAUUGGUAGACGCGCACGGUUUAGGACCGUGUGGGGCAACCCGUGCAGGUUCAAGUCCUGUUCUCGGCA
rnacentral:tRNA from 1 species